CCAAUGUAGUAGAGACAAAAUUAAAUUUUAGCUGAAGGCAAAAUGGAAUAAUUGUGCGUCGUCGUGUUUAUGUGGGAAUUUUGUAAAAAAAAGUAAUAAAAGCAAAUGUCUGAAAUUUACGUUGGACAAACAAAACGACCAACGUUUUUUUUUCAAGCUAU